CCCGCGGCGCCAUGGCGGCGCUCCCUCAGCGGCGCCGCUCUGUCCCCGCACCCGCGGAAAGGCCUUUGCUGCUUUUAUUUCGGCUUCUGCCGUUAUUUCCGUCUCUGCCUUUAUUUCAGCUUCUGUUACUCGUCCGGGCCCGCUGUGCGGUGUUCGCUGUGCCACAAAGCUGCGGGAGCGGUGGCUGAUCCCCUUCCGUGAAGUCGCAGCAAUUGCAGAACAAAGUUACAGAAAAGGAACCUGGAGAGUUCGCUGCGAUUUCCCUGGUACCCUGAAUCCAGCCUGAUUUAAAUCCAGAGAAUUGUGGAAUUGCUUUGGUCGGGAUGGACCUGAAAGCUCCUCUGGAGCCUCCCAGCAGCCCAGGCUGCUCUCUUUGCUCUCAGUUUUCUUUCUGGAGGGCAAUGGCAGAAGCAUUUCCUUCUGUGGUUUAGGCUAUGAUGUCUGGGUUUGGAGCAGAAAUCAGAUUUCUGCUGAGAACGUCGUCUUGCACAGCCUGCAACAUCCUGUUGUCUACUGUUCCUGUACCACAGGGGCCUUCUGUGUGUGUUGUUGUCACUGGGGGUUUCAGCUUGCAGAAUAAUUGCCACAGUCGUUGGUAAAAACUACUGUGCCCUUUGCAAAGAAAUGGAGAAUAAAAAAUACGUAUUUAUA